UACGUAGGGUGCAAGCGUUGUCCGGAAUUAUUGGGCGUAAAGAGCUCGUAGGCGGUCAGUCGCGUCUGCUGUGAAAACUCGGGGCUUAACUCCGGGCCUGCAGUGGGUACGGGCUGACUAGAGUGCGGUAGGGGAGACUGGAAUUCCUGGUGUAGCGGUGAAAUGCGCAGAUAUCAGGAGGAACACCGGUGGCGAAGGCGGCUCUCUGGUACGUGACUGACGCUGAGACGCGAAAGCGUGGGGAGCGAACAGG
rnacentral:rRNA from 1 species